CAUGCCGCGUGUGUGAAGAAGGCCUUAGGGUUGUAAAGCUCUUUCAGCGAGGAGGAAGCUACUGAAGUUAAUACCUUCUGAUAGUGAACGUUCCUCGCAAAAAAGCCACCGGCUAACUCUGUGCCACCAGCCGCGGUAAUACAAAGGGGGCAAGCGUUAAUCGAAUUUACGGGGCGUAAAGCGGGCGUAGGCGGCUAAUUAAGUCAAAUGUGAAAUCCCCGACCUUAACUUGGGAAUUGCAUUCGAUACUGGUUAGCUGGAGUGUGGGAAAGGAUGUUAAAAUUCCGGGUGUAGCGGUAAAAUGCUUAAAGAUCUGAAGGAAUACCAAUGGCAAAGGCAGCCCUCUGGCCUAACCCUGACCCUAAGGUGCGAAAGAGGGGGGGAGCAAACAGGAUAA
rnacentral:rRNA from 1 species